UCGGGAAUCUUGCACAAUGGGGGAAACCCUGAUGCAGCGACGCCGCGUGGAGGAUGAAGGAUCUAGGUCUGUAAACUCCUUUUAUCGGGAAAGACUUAGGACGGUACCCGAUGAAUAAGCACCGGCUAACUACGUGCCAGCAGCCGCGGUAAGACGUAGGGUGCGAGCGUUGUCCGGAUUUACUGGGCGUAAAGGACGCGUAGGCGGCCUGUUAAGUGUGAAGUGAAAUCUCCAGGGCUCAACCCGGAAACUGCUUCGCAUACUGGCAGGCUGGAGGAAUGCAGAGGUGAGUGGAAUUCCUGGUGUAGCGGUGAAAUGCGUUGAUAUCAGGAGGAACACCCAUGGCGAAGGCAGCUCACUGGGCAUUUCCUGACGCUGAGGCGUGAAAGCGUGGGUAGCAAACAGG
rnacentral:rRNA from 1 species